rnacentral:lncRNA from 1 species
AGCUCACUCAACAAUUAAAGCGUAUGGCUUCGGUUGCCUACGGACAUCAAGCCUCUUACGGCAAGCUCGCUUGGCUACGAAUGAUGGCAUGACUCCACAAGGGUUUGAGAGCUUUGGCCUAAUCUCCUACAGUAACAGCAUUGACUCACACGAUCGAGUAUUAAUUUCUACCGCAUGCCCAAUUGUACGAAAGGCUGUUUGCCUCAUCACAUCACAGGUAACCCAGCCCCCUCUAUAAAAGGGGAAUUUCUCCAUUUUGAGGGGGAGAAAGAAAAAUUCUAACUACUUCUACCUCCGUUCAUACACUUGCCCUCACUGACUUGAGCGUCGGAGGGCCGGCGCGGGACAGCUCGGCCACCGGCUUUUUGCAGGUCCCCCGGAGGACGCCGCACAUCG